ACUCAAAUGAAUAGACGGGGGCCCGCACAAGCGGUGGAGCAUGUGGUUUAAUUCGACGCAACGCGAAGAACCUUACCCAGACUUGACAUGCAAUAGACGGGUGUGGAAACACACCUUCCCUUCGGGGCUGUUGCACAGGUGCUGCAUGGCUGUCGUCAGCUCGUGUCGUGAGAUGUUGGGUUAAGUCCCGCAACGAGCGCAACCCUUGUCCUUAGUUGCUAACGGAUAAAGCUGAGCACUCUAAGGAGACUGCCGGUGAUAAACCGGAGGAAGGUGGGGAUGACGUCAAGUCCUCAUGGCCCUUACGUCUGGGGCUACACACGUGCUACAAUGGCCGGUACAAAGGGUUCCGAUACCGCGAGGUGGAGGCAAUCCCAAAAAACCGGUCUCAGUUCGGAUCGCAGUCUGCAACUCGACUGCGUGAAGUCGGAAUCGCUAGUAAUCGCUGAUCAGCAGGCAGCGGUGAAUACGUUCCCGGGCCUUGUACACACCGCCCGU
rnacentral:rRNA from 1 species